GAUGAACGCUGGCGGCGUGCUUAACACAUGCAAGUCGAACGAUGAAGCCCAGCCUGCUGGGCGGAUUAGUGGCGAACGGGUGAGUAACACGUGAGUAACCUGCCCUUGACUCUGGGAUAAGCCCGGGAAGCUGGGUCUAAUACCGGAUAGGAGCGCCUGUCGCAUGACGGGUGCUGGAAAGAUUUUUCGGUCAUGGAUGGACUCGCGGCCUAUCAGCUUGUUGGUGAGGUAACGGCUCACCAAGGCGACGACGGGUAGCCGGCCUGAGAGGGUGACCGGCCACACUGGGACUGAGACACGGCCCAGACUCCUACGGGAGGCAGCAGUGGGGAAUAUUGCACAAUGGGCGGAAGCCUGAUGCAGCGACGCCGCGUGAGGGAUGAC
rnacentral:rRNA from 1 species